GUACUCAACAAGGAAGUGACGGCUAACUACGUGCCAGCAGCCGCGGUAAAACGUAGGUCACAAGCGUUGUCCGGAAUUACUGGGUGUAAAGGGAGCGCAGGCGGGAAGACAAGUUGGAAGUGAAAUCUAUGGGCUCAACCCAUAAACUGCUUUCAAAACUGUUUUUCUUGAGUAGUGCAGAGGUAGGCGGAAUUCCCGGUGUAGCGGUGGAAUGCGUAGAUAUCGGGAGGAACACCAGUGGCGAAGGCGGCCUACUGGGCACCAACUGACGCUGAGGCUCGAAAGUGUGGGUAGCAAACAGGAUUAGAUACCCUGGUAGUCCACACCGUAAACGAUGAUUAUUAGGUGUUGGAGGAUUGACCCCUUCAGUGCCGCAGUUAACACAAUAAGUAAUCCACCUGGGGA
rnacentral:rRNA from 1 species